GAUCAUGGCUCAGGAUGAACGCUAGCGGCAGGCUUAAUACAUGCAAGUCAAGGGGUAGCAAUACAACCGGCGCACGGGUGAGUAACGCGUACACAACAUACCAUAUACUGGGGUAUAGCUUCGGGAAACUGGAGAUAAUCCCCCAUAACAUUGCGAGAGGGCAUCUGAUUGCAAUUAAAGUUUCGACGGUAUAUGAUUGGUGUGCGUUUGAUUAGCUUGUUGGUAGGGUAACGGCCUACCAAGGCGACGAUCAAUAGCUGGCGUGAGAGCGCGACCAGCCACACUGGAACUGAGACACGGUCCAGACUCCUACGGGAGGCAGCAGUAGGGAAUAUUGGACAAUGGGCGAAAGCCUGAUCCAGCCAUGCCGCGUGAUAGAUGAAGGCCCUCUGGGUUGUAAAUAUCUUUUAUCUGGGAAGAAACUCCUCUAUUCUUAGAGGCCUGACGGUACCAGAGGAAUAAGCACCGGCUAACUCCGUG
rnacentral:rRNA from 1 species